AACAGCUAGAAUGAUAGACAUUUGUAGGUUUCUGUGGUUAAGCCGAGUGGUCCCCAGCUGAACAAGUCUUCAGGUACUCUGUGUUCCCAGACUGUGGAGCUGUCUGGAAGCUCUGCUAAUCAUUCACCACUCUUGGCUUCCGUCGACACUACUGUGGGCAGGGCGGGUUUGGGAAGGACCAGUGCUAUCUUUGAAGUCCGGGGAUCAGGAUGCUCAUGUGUUAAUAAGCAAUAUGUGUUCUUUGAUGUUGGGCCAAAGUGGGGAAUCUGAUCACCCCAGACAGGAGCCCCAGAGGGGCAAGCCUGCCCUGCAUACAUGCUGGUUCCAGCCUCUCCUUGCUGUGGGGUGAGGGUUGCUGUUCAUCUUCCUCUGACCACUGAUGCUCAGCUCCCAGCAGUCAGGCACAGCUGGAGAGACAGACAGUGCAGGAAGGGAGUAAGAGCUGAAGCUCCCGUCUUACCACAGCCCUGGCAGAUGAGAGGCAGCAUUAAAGGCCAACAUGGAGUUCAGCUGGUUAUAGAGGCAGUGGUAUUCAGAAGAUACAGAUAGUGGAUGUCUUCUUAAAGGGCAGACUUUGCAUAUUUGCGGGAGCUGGUGAGGAAACCUAGGGAAGGUUGCUGCCCUGCUGCGUGGUGGGCCUGCAGUAGUUUCAAGAUGAACUGGAGGCAGCAUCUGCCUUUCGCCACAUCACCGCUCCAUGGAAGGCAGACUGCAGGAGAAUUUAAGGGGGCUACAGGUCUACCUGCUCAUCACCCCUGGAGGUAACCUAAAGGUGAAUAACAAAAUGCAUGGGUGACAGUGGUGCCUGGCACCAUACUCUGUCAGUGUGAUUGGGCUGCUGUCCACUCCUGCCUUCAGACUUGUGAGAACUCCACUUGUAGCCGACCUCUGCUUGGAGCCAUGUGGGGAAGGGAAUUCUGGGAAACUUCAUUCAAGCUUAGUUUUGCUGGUACAGGUACACCACCACCUCUGCACCGCUGCAGGUUUGUCUCCUGGCCAUAAAGAUGGUGAUGGUUUGGUGGUGGUGGUUAGGAAGAGGUGGGGAAGGGUGGAAGAGGAGGAGAGGGAACUCUCUAGGUGGUCUUCAAGAUAUGUCUGCAACAGAAGACUAGAAAAGCCAGGUGGAUGCUAUUAUAUGUCUCUUAUCUAAAUGUUUCUAUGUCCUAUCUAAAUGCUUCUCUUAUCUAAAUGUUUCUACGUCUGUACCCAGAACAAACACAUCCUCCUUUACAGAUAGACAGAACUUAGGUCUGAGAAUUACCAGCAGACACUUGGGAAUACAAGUGAGCACAGGCUUUCUCUGGGUACAGCAGUAACCCAGCCCACUAUUUCCUUCCUACUCAGCACCAGGCAGGAUGAGAGGAAGGAAACUUGAUCCGGGGACAGGCAUGAGCCAAAGCCACUCAGGAGAAGCCCCCAAGAACCCACUCAGUUCCCAAUGCACCAGAGGAGAAUGGGGCAAUGGGGGCCACAUCUCUGCCAACUGUGUGGGCUUGUCUCAAGAAACGUUUCCCCUCUGUGGUGAGCAGUGGGUGAAGUGAGGUGAUAA
ensembl:lncRNA